CCUCCUUCUUUUUCUCAGGAGGAGAAGGUCAUAAAUUCAUCUUCCAAAGCCCCUCAUUUGUGGAGGGAGUGACAUCAUCAGUAAGGAGACACCAGCAUAUUAAAUACAUCAUCCAACUGUCUCUGAUAAAGGAAAAUGAGACACCUUCCUGAGUCAUGAAUUUGGUGGUUUUCAGACCGCAGUAAAGUAUAAGCUGUGUUUGACCUGAGACGUCGCACUCCAUCACAGGCCAAGGACACAAGGGCUUAGGGCGAGACCCAGCCCCAGUUUACACCUGGAUUCCGAAUAUACCAGCCUUGGACUGGACUGAUGUGGCUCCUAGCAGCCCUCAGACUCUCCCAGGACUUUAGGAAGAAGGUAAAAGCAUAGAAGGACCACAGUGGGCACAGGUGAGCUUCCAGCUAUACGCCCCAGGACAGCAUCCAGGAGUGGGCAGGUCUUUCCCGUCGCAGACAGCCAGACAUGAGCCAGCCCUACAGGAGCACCCAGAGCUCAGAGGCAUCAAAACAGCCCUGUGCUUUGAGGUUUGUAAUUAACUCCUGGGGGGGAUGGGCGUGGUCUGCUUUGUAAGGAAUCUUGGCAUGAAGCAUCAGGAAAUACGUCAUAUUGUCAUCACUGUAAUAUUACAGGAAUUGCCGCUGCUGAAUGCUUCUCCCUAUGGCUGCGGACCUGGAGCCUUUAUAAAGUGAGCGAGCACACCGUCCUGUCCAGUCUCAGCUGGGAAGCCAGCCAGCCAUGAGGCUCUGCUACCUUCUCUUUGUGCUGCUCUUCUUGUUCUUGCUGCCUGUUCCAGCUUAUGUACUUAAACAUCAUGAAGAAUGGGAGCAUCAUGAAAACAUCCACCAAGAAAGGGGAAAAGCAUCAACAGUAGAUAAAGAUCAGGAACAGUAGGGUUUGGGGAAUACUGUUUUUCCCCUUUGAUCUGGCCAAUCAAAGGGCCAAUCAGGUUUUUUUUCCAUUUCCCUCAUGUGCAAACCAGACUCACGGCGUGGUCCCCUCCAUGGAUGGACGCUUGUAGCGGAUGGUGCUCCCACUGGGACCCUGGUGUGCUGACCAUGGCGACUGCCCAGCUGCUGCAAGCCAGAUGAAGGUGCUUUCCCCUGGACGGGUGAGAUUCAUCUGCUAAGUGCUAUUGUAAAUUCACUUCUUUCCUUUCGCUUUGAUCCUUGAUCUGUACUAGCCUAAGUACUUUAAUAAAUUGGUUUCUGUUACCAACCUGUGGACUACAUCUUGAAUUCUUUAAAAGAACCACUGAAGCAAAGCAAAACGUUUUUGGCAUAGUCAGCAUGUUUCGAGAUGCUAUUGCUUUUCCAUGGGAAAGUUGAUCCUAUUCCAGGAUGGGAAGAUCCUUCUUUUAGCAGUUUAGCUCAGCAAUGAGAAAGGGAGCUGGACUAUGUGAAAAUUGGG
rnacentral:lncRNA from 1 species